rnacentral:rRNA from 1 species
UACGUAGGGUGCAAGCGUUGUCCGGAAUUAUUGGGCGUAAAGAGCUCGUAGGCGGUCUGUCGCGUCGGCUGUGAAAUCCCGAGGCUCAACCUCGGGUCUGCAGUCGAUACGGGCAAACUAGAGUAUUGCAGGGGAGACUGGAAUUCCUGGUGUAGCGGUGAAAUGCGCAGAUAUCAGGAGGAACACCGGUGGCGAAGGCGGGUCUCUGGGCAAUAACUGACGCUGAGGCUCGAAAGCGUGGGGAGCAAACAGG